rnacentral:sRNA from 1 species
AAGGAUCAUUACCGAGUUUUCGAGCUCCGGCUCGACUCUCCCACCCUUUGUGAACGUACCUCUGUUGCUUUGGCGGCUCCGGCCGCCAAAGGACCUUCAAACUCCAGUCAGUAAACGCAGACGUCUGAUAAACAAGUUAAUAAACUAAAACUUUCAACAACGGAUCUCUUGGUUCUGGCAUCGAUGAAGAACGCAGCGAAAUGCGAUAAGUAAUGUGAAUUGCAGAAUUCAGUGAAUCAUCGAAUCUUUGAACGCACAUUGCGCCCCUUGGUAUUCCGGGGGGCAUGCCUGUUCGAGCGUCAUUACAACCCUCAAGCUCUGCUUGGAAUUGGGCACCGUCCUCACUGCGGACGCGCCUCAAAGACCUCGGCGGUGGCUGUUCAGCCCUCAAGCGUAGUAGAAUACACCUCGCUUUGGAGCGGUUGGCGUCGCCCGCCGGACGAACCUUCUGAACUUUUCUCAAGGUUGACCUCGGAUCAGGUAGGGAUACCCGCUGAACUUAA